AGCAAAUAUUACGUAUUAAUUUGUUUGUUUAAAUCGAUCAAAUAUAAAGUUAAAUUUUACUGAAAAAAAUUUUUUUUUAUAGUUUGAGUUUUGAAUUUAAUCGGAAGGGAAAUAAAUUGAAAUGAUAUUAUUGUGUAUUUAAUACUGAUUUAGAUUUCUAAUUAAUACGGUAGUUGCUGCCACCAGAUGUAGUCUAAGGACUAUUUCAAAAUAUUUUAUUUUUAUUAUUUUCUUUUACGUUUAAUGGGUAGCGUUAACUGACGCCUAAUGCAACUGGUAAACGAAUUCCAUUUUUCGGCUAACCUGCUAUGCGCAGGGAUGCUAGCACGGGAGAGGAUUAAAGCUGGGUACAAUAAAUAUUUUUCCUCGUUGAACAGAUUUUCUAUUUGAAUGUAAAAUUGCUUAGGUUAUUAUAUAUAUAUAUUUUAUUAGCUGGAUAUAUAUAUUUUAGUGUUGCUGGAUUAGAUAGGGAUGUGAGAUUUUUGUUGUUUUAUAUAAAUUUAUCUUUACGUUUGUUUAAAGUUAAACAAUGAUUCUAUUCUCAAAACCCUUCACGGAAAUAAGACGAGAUUGAUGAUAGGAAGUUCUGGUUUGAUUCUCGAAAUUAUCAGAGAAGACGAAAUUUUAAAAAAUUUAUUUUCUUACCUUGAGGAGAAGGUGCUGUCGGGUGCCAUUACUCCAGCUGCUCAGGUGAUCGUCGAAGUUUGUUGGGUUUAUUAUUUAAUCUCGAAUAUAGUUUUCUAUCAACCUUUACUUUAUUUAGCUAUUUCGAUACAGAUUGAAUAACUCGCUAACUGAAUUAAUACAGCAAUGGGGACUUAAAAUUCUUCUUUUAUUUAAUCGCGACUCUCUUGUCUUUACCGAAAAAACUAAAAGACCCCGAAACGCAAAAUACUUAUACAAAUCUUUGAAUGCAAUAAUGAGCGAACGGCAAUAACAAUGAUCACUAUAAUGAUGAACCAAGAUUAAAGCCCACGCUCUAUGUUGCUACGCUUAUUUAUAAUGCCAUCCCCACGGGAUGGUGGUCCACUGGGGGUAUGCUUCCGUGGGAAUCAGGAUGUUGCAGUUUGAAUUUCUUGAAAUCGUACGUGAGAGAAUGCGGGUUCCAUGCGUCGACUUAGUUCCUAUCAGUCCUGUGCUUCUGCUGAGCUAGCAUCUAGGAGGCUCGAAGCAUUCCAUGCUGAUCUAGUCCUUCCCGCGAGAAUCUUCCACGUGCUGUACCGUGGGAAUUAUCUGUGUUUCUUCGGUGCGUGCAAGGGUUGGCGGCCGCAGCAUCAUUAUCACUUCGAUGCUCGCUCGGGCAACACGCGCGACAUCCGCUGCUCUCCCGCUACAAGGACCUCCUUCUUUGAGUUAUUUUUGCGCUUUGGUGAUCGACGUUCGGACAAUGUUUGCGGAGGCAUUUCCAUCAGAGGUUUCUUAUUAUAUUAUUUUUAGAUGUAUUUUGUUUUUAUGUACGAAAUAUAUAUAUAUAUAUAUAUAUUUCUAUGUAUCUAUUAUACGUUUGUUAAAUAUAUUUAAUUUUAUAUUUCCCCCUUUUUAAUUAAUUAUAUAUAUUUUUACAUUUGCAUUUGACAGUGUAGUCGCUCAUAGAGUCUAUUAAAGAAAAUUGUUAACAAUAUGCUUUCAUGAUUUGUUUCUCGCGCCUGUUUUCCAUUAAUCCCUAAUAUUCCUGUCGCCAUGAUGCGUGUAAAUCCAACAUGGCUGCUCAUAAAUGUCAUCAGUAAAGUUUUAGUAACGGGUCUUUAGUUUUGUUUGAUAUCGAAGGACGAUUGUUUUUCCUGUCGCUCCUCUGGCCAAUGUGUUUAAGACUGCAAUAUUUCUGCCGGGAACAUGACGUGGUCCCGUAGUGCGUCCAGGUCCUCUUGGGUAUAUAUUCCGCUCAUGGUCACCGACGAUGGUGCUGAAUAUCGCCACGUUUGGCGCACGUCCGGGCGGAAUUUGUGUGGUGCGAUUCCCUUGCCAAACGGAUAGCUCCGAGUAGCAUUUUGUUGUAUGUCGUACUUUUACUUGUACCGGAAUGUAUUUGACUAUAUGGACCGCUUCUCCUGCGAUCAAAUCCAUGUGUCCUGGGUUUUGGUUAUGGUGUAUGCAAAUUCGUCGGGCGGUUUUACGUACUUGUUAUCAGUGAAAAUAAAUAUUAUGAAUACUACUUGGAUUGUAACUAUAUACAUAUAUGCGUAC